CUAAUACAUGCAAGUCGAACGAAACUUUCUUACACCGAAUGCUUGCAUUCACCGUAAGAAGUUGAGUGGCGGACGGGUGAGUAACACGUGGGUAACCUGCCUAAAAGAAGGGGAUAACACUUGGAAACAGGUGCUAAUACCGUAUAUCUCUAAGGAUCGCAUGAUCCUUAGAUGAAAGAUGGUUCUGCUAUCGCUUUUAGAUGGACCCGCGGCGUAUUAACUAGUUGGUGGGGUAACGGCCUACCAAGGUGAUGAUACGUAGCCGAACUGAGAGGUUGAUCGGCCACAUUGGGACUGAGACACGGCCCAAACUCCUACGGGAGGCAGCAGUAGGGAAUCUUCCACAAUGGACGCAAGUCUGAUGGAGCAACGCCGCGUGAGUGAAGAAGGUCUUCGGAUCGUAAAACUCUGUUGUUAGAGAAGAACACGAGUGAGAGUAACUGUUCAUUCGAUGACGGUAUCUAACCAGCAAGUCACGGCUAACUACGUGCCAGCAGCCGCGGUAAUACGUAGGUGGCAAGCGUUGUCCGGAUUUAUUGGGCGUAAAGGGAACGCAGGCGGUCUUUUAAGUCUGA
rnacentral:rRNA from 2 species